UACGGGGGGGGCAAGCGUUGUUCGGAAUUACUGGGCGUAAAGCGUGCGCAGGCGGUUUUGUAAGUCUGUCGUGAAAUCCCCGGGCUCAACCUGGGAAUUGCGAUGGAGACUGCAAGGCUAGAAUCUGGCAGAGGGGGGUAGAAUUCCACGUGUGAGCAGUGAAAUGCGUAGAGAUGUGGAGGAACACCGAUGGCGAAGGCAGCCCCCUGGGUCAAGAUUGACGCUCAUGCACGAAAGCGUGGGGAGCAAACAGG
rnacentral:rRNA from 1 species